UACGUAGGGACCAAGCGUUGUUCGGAUUUACUGGGCGUAAAGGGCGCGUAGGCGGCCAGCACAAGUCAGUUGUGAAAUCUCCGAGCUUAACUCGGAACGGUCAAGUGAUACUGAUGUGCUAGAGUGCAGAAGGGGCAACCGGAAUUCUUGGUGUAGCGGUGAAAUGCGUAGAUAUCAAGAGGAACACCUGAGGUGAAGACGGGUUGCUGGGCUGACACUGACGCUGAGGCGCGAAAGCCAGGGGAGCAAACGGG
rnacentral:rRNA from 1 species